AAGGGGUAUCUCAAUAGGAUUUGCACGUUUUACCAUUUGCAAGUGCAUUAGGUCUCUUAGGUUUUAGUUUAAGGCCAGCAUGAGCGAGUGAAAUAAACUCGACUAGCUUAGGACUAAGGCAUCAAGCGUGAAAUCCGCGCACUAUAAGCCCUCGGGAUCGGACCCCCAAUCCUUUUUCAACACUAAAUAUGAAAAUACCCCACCUUGCCACAUCGCUGAAGAAUAAUGGUGGAUAUCUUGGGCAAAUGUGCAAUAUCAUGAGGGAUAUCUUGGGCAAAUGUGCAAUAUCAUGAGGGAUAUCUUGGGCAAAUGUGCAAUAUCAUGAGGGAUAUCUUGGGCAAAUGUGCAAUGCAAUUAGGGAUAUCUUGGGCAAAUGUGCAAUUAUACACGAGGUAACUUUAUUACUAAGAAGAAAGAAGACGACGUAAGGUUAGUGGACAUUUAUAAUAUAGUGGGGGGGAGGGCCCUGCGGCUGAAAAUGGAAUAGUAAUUGAGCGGUAACAAUAUGGCGGUACGAUAGCAAUAUGGCGGACUUGUGGGGAAUUACUCCAUUGAAAGGAGCACCCCCCAAAAAUUGCGCUUAUGAU